UACAGAGGGGGCAAGCGUUGUUCGGAAUUACUGGGCGUAAAGGGCGCGUAGGCGGCCUUCUAAGUCGAACGUGAAAUCCCCGGGCUCAACCCGGGAACUGCGUCCGAUACUGGAAGGCUUGAAUCCGGGAGAGGGAUGCGGAAUUCCAGGUGUAGCGGUGAAAUGCGUAGAUAUCUGGAGGAACACCGGUGGCGAAGGCGGCAUCCUGGACCGACACUGACGCUGAGGAGCGAAAGCCAGGGGAGCAAAGCGGG
rnacentral:rRNA from 1 species